CUCAGGACGAACGCUGGCGGCGUGCCUAAUACAUGCAAGUCGAACGCUUCUUUCCUCCCGAGUGCUUGCACUCAAUUGGAAAGAGGAGUGGCGGACGGGUGAGUAACACGUGGGUAACCUACCCAUCAGAGGGGGAUAACACUUGGAAACAGGUGCUAAUACCGCAUAACAGUUUAUGCCGCAUGGCAUAAGAGUGAAAGGCGCUUUCGGGUGUCGCUGAUGGAUGGACCCGCGGUGCAUUAGCUAGUUGGUGAGGUAACGGCUCACCAAGGCCACGAUGCAUAGCCGACCUGAGAGGGUGAUCGGCCACACUGGGACUGAGACACGGCCCAGACUCCUACGGGAGGCAGCAGUAGGGAAUCUUCGGCAAUGGACGAAAGUCUGACCGAGCAACGCCGCGUGAGUGAAGAAGGUUUUCGGAUCGUAAAACUCUGUUGUUAGAGAAGAACAAGGACGUUAGUAACUGAACGUCCCCUGACGGUAUCUAACCAGAAAGCCACGGCUAACUACGUGCCAGCAGCCGCGGUAAUACGUAGGUGGCAAGCGUUGUCCGGAUUUAUUGGGCGUAAAGCGAGCGCAGGCGGUUUCUUAAGUCUGAUGUGAAAGCCCCCGGCUCAACCGGGGAGGGUCAUUGGAAACUGGGAGACUUGAGUGCAGAAGAGGAGAGUGGAAUUCCAUGUGUAGCGUG
rnacentral:rRNA from 1 species